rnacentral:rRNA from 1 species
GACGAACGCUGGCGGCGUGCUUAACACAUGCAAGUCGAGCGGUAAGGCCCGUUUCGGGGGUACACGAGCGGCGAACGGGUGAGUAACACGUGGGUGACCUGCCCUCAGCUCUGGGAUAAGCCUGGGAAACCGGGUCUAAUACCGGAUAUGACUCCAUGACGCAUGUUGUGGGGUGGAAAGCCUUGUGCGGCUGAGGAUGGGCCCGCGGCCUAUCAGCUUGUUGGUGGGGUGAUGGCCUACCAAGGCGACGACGGGUAGCCGGCCUGAGAGGGCGACCGGCCACACUGGGACUGAGACACGGCCCAGACUCCUACGGGAGGCUGCAGUAACGAAUCUUCCGCAAUGCGCGAAAGCGUGACGGAGCAAUGCCGCGUGCAGGAUG